GGAGUUGACUGGGUAGUCGCUGCUUUAUUGAUGUCCCUUAGUUUUGCUGGGGGAGACUGAUAAAGGGGAGGAAAGUCCGGGCUCCAUAGAGCAGGGUGCCAGGUAACGCCUGGGGGGCGUAAGCCCACGACAAGUGCAGCAGAGAGAAGACCGCCGAUGACCCUUGGGUCAGGUAAGGGUGAAAGGGUGCGGUAAGAGCGCACCGUGCGUCUGGUAACAGUUCGUAGCAAGGUAAACUCCACCCGGAGCAAGACCAAAUAGGCUCUCAUAUGGCGUGGCUCGCGUCUGGGAGCGGGUAGGUUGCUUGAGCCAGUGAGCGAUUGCUGGCCUAGAGGAAUGGCUACUACCGUUGCAAAACGGAACAGAACCCGGCUUAUAGGUUAACUCCGGCU
rnacentral:RNase_P_RNA from 2 species